rnacentral:misc_RNA from 1 species
UUUCCGUAGGUGAACCUGCGGAAGGAUCAUUAAAGUUAUAGUCCCCCGGCUCUCUGGGCUGGGGUCUUCUAUACCACCCUUUGUUUAUUACACCUUUGUUGCUUUGGCAGGCCUGCCCUCGGGCUGCUGGCUCCGGCCGGCUCGCGUCUGCCAGAGGACCUAAACUCUGUUUGUAUAUGAAGUCUGAGUACUAUAUAAUAGUUAAAACUUUCAACAACGGAUCUCUUGGUUCUG